AGUGAACGCUGGCGGUAGGCCUAACACAUGCAAGUCGAACGGCAGCACAGUAAGAGCUUGCUCUUACGGGUGGCGAGUGGCGGACGGGUGAGGAAUACAUCGGAAUCUACUUUUUCGUGGGGGAUAACGUAGGGAAACUUACGCUAAUACCGCAUACGACCUACGGGUGAAAGCAGGGGAUCUUCGGACCUUGCGCGAUUGAAUGAGCCGAUGUCGGAUUAGCUAGUUGGCGGGGUAAAGGCCCACCAAGGCGACGAUCCGUAGCUGGUCUGAGAGGAGGAUCAGCGACACUGGAACUGAGACACGGACCAGACUCCUACGGGAGGCAGCAGUGGGGAAUAGUGGACAAUGGGCGCAAGCCUGAUCCAGCCAUACCGCGUGGGUGAAGAAGGCCUUCGGGUUGUAAAGCCCUUUUGUUGGGAAAGAAAAGCAGCAGGUUAAUACCCCGCUGUUCUGACGGUACCCAAAGAAUAAGCACCGGCUAACUUCGUG
rnacentral:rRNA from 1 species